GCAGAAGAAGCACCGGCUAACUCCGUGCCAGCAGCCGCGGUAAUACGGAGGGUGCGAGCCUUAAUCGGAAUUACUGGGCGUAAAGCGCAUGCAGGCGGUUUGUUAAGCCAGAUGUGAAAGCCCGGGGCUCAACCUCGGAAUUGCAUUUGAAACUGGCAGACUAGAGUACUGUAGAGGGGGGUAGAAUUUCAGGUGUAGCGGUGAAAUGCGUAGAGAUCUGAAGGGGUACCGGUGGCGAAGGCGGCCCCCUGGACAGAUACUGACACUCAUAUGCGAAAGCGUGGG
rnacentral:rRNA from 2 species